rnacentral:rRNA from 1 species
GUGCCACAGCCGCGGUAAUACAGAGGUCCCAAGCGUUGUUCGGAUUCACUGGGCGUAAAGGGUGCGUAGGCGGUGGGGAAAGUUUGGUGUGAAAUCUUCGGGCCCAACCCGGAAACUGCACUAAAAACUUCCUCGCUCGAGGACUGGAGGGGAGACUGGAAUUCUCGGUGUAGCGGUGAAAUGCGUAGAUAUCGAGAGGAACACCUGUGGCGAAGGCGAGUCUCUGGACAGUUUCUGACGCUGAGGCACGAAAGCUAGGGGAGCAAACAGG